AUGGGCGCUGGACUUUAUGGAUAUAUCGAUCAAUCUGUUCAAGAACCACCUCAAACCAUCACAACGAAAAAUGCCGAAGGGAAGGAUCAGGUUGUCCUGAACCUUGCCUACUCCCCAUGUCUCAUCCAAGAUCAACAAAUUGUUCCCUAUCUCUUCAGAAAUCUCUCCAAAGAAGUCCUCAUUCAAGUCGCCUCACUUGAGAAAUCUCAUGCAAUCUGGUCGGCACUCGGGAACAUGUCCUCGGCCAUGUCUCUUUCUUGUGCCAACAACAUCAGGGUGGCUCUAACCAAUGCUUAAAAGGGCACCCAGUCGGCAGCCUCCUUUUUCGGUCACAUGCGUGCCCUUUUUGAUGAACUUGCGGCUGCAGGCAAACCGAUGGGAGAAGAUGAGCUCCUCUCAUUCACCAUUCCCGGCUUGGAUGUGGAAUACCAGCCGAUAAUCUCGGCAUUAGAUGCUCGCACUAAACCUGUCUCUGUUGACAAUCUCUUCUCCAUGGCGGCCAACUUUGAUCUGAAGGAAAUAUGCCCUAGAGGCAAUAAUAAAGUUGUUAUUUUAUAUGUCCUUAUAUCAUGA
rnacentral:rRNA from 1 species